UAAUACAUGCAGUCGAGCGGACAGAAGGGAGCUUGCUCCCGGAUGUUAGCGGCGGACGGGUGAGUAACACGUGGGUAACCUGCCUGUAAGACUGGGAUAACUCCGGGAAACCGGAGCUAAUACCGGAUAGUUCCUUGAACCGCAUGGUUCAAGGAUGAAAGACGGUUUCGGCUGUCACUUACAGAUGGACCCGCGGCGCAUUAGCUAGUUGGUGAGGUAACGGCUCACCAAGGCGACGAUGCGUAGCCGACCUGAGAGGGUGAUCGGCCAUACUGGGACUGAGACACGGCCCAGACUCCUACGGGAGGCAGCAGUAGGGAAUCUUCCGCAAUGGACGAAAGUCUGACGGAGCACCGCCGCGUGAGUGAUGAAGGUUUUCGGGAUCGUAAAGCUCUGUUGUUAGGGAAGAACAAGUGCAAGAGUAACUGCUUGCACCUUGACGGUACCUAACCAGAAAGCCACGGCUAACUACGUGCCAGCAGCCGCGGUAAUACGUAGGGGGGCAAGCGUUGUCCGGAAAUUAUUGGGCGUAAAGGGGCUCGCAGGCGGUUUCUUAAGUCUGAUGUGAAAGCCCCGGGCUCAACCGGGGGAGGGUCAUUGGGAAACUGGGAAACUUUGAGUGCAGAAAGAGGGAGAGUGGAAAUUCCAAGGUGUAGCGGUGAAAUGCGUAAGAGAUGUGAAGAAAACACCAGUGCGAAAGGCGACUCUCUGGUCUGUUACUGGACGCUGAGGAGCGAAAGCGUCGAGAGCGAACAGGAUCACAUAGCCUGAUAGUCAACGCCGUAAACGAAUGAGGUGCUAAGUGU
rnacentral:rRNA from 1 species